rnacentral:rRNA from 1 species
AUUGAACGCUGGCGGAAUGCUUUACACAUGCAAGUCGAGCGGCAGCGCGGGGGCAACCCUGGCGGCGAGCGGCGAACGGGUGAGUAAUACAUCGGAACAUGUCCAGUCGUGGGGGAUAACCUGGCGAAAGCCAGGCUAAUACCGCAUGAGCUCGGGAGAGGAAAGCGGGGGACCGUAAGGCCUCGCGCGAUUGGGUUGGCCGAUGUCCGAUUAGCUUGUUGGUGAGGUAAAGGCUUACCAAGGCGACGAUCAGUAGCUGGUCUGAGAGGAUGAUCAGCCACACUGGGACUGAGACACGGCCCAGACUCCUACGGGAGGCAG